rnacentral:rRNA from 1 species
GACAGAGGUCCCGAGCGUUAGGCGGAAUCACUGGGCUUAAAGCGUGUGUAGGCGGAUUGGUAAGUACCUUGUGAAAUCCCACGGCUUAACCGUGGAACUGCUUGGUAUACUGCUUAUCUUGGGCCACUUAGGGGUUACCGGAACAAACGGUGGAGCGGUGAAAUGCGUAGAUAUCGUGUGGAACGCCAAUGGUGAAAACAGGUAACGGGGAGUGUGCCGACGCUGAGACACGAAAGCCAGGGGAGCGAACGGG